UUUUCCAAACCUUGGGAUGAAACAAGAAAUUCACUCUUUUCUAUAGUACAAACUCAAUAAUUCGCAUUUAAAUUCAAAUUUUCGAAGGCUCAUCCUCUAAUCCUAGCCCAAACGUCUCCUUCAUUGAUCCCAAAGCCUCUCCCGAAACCCUAGUUUCUCACAGACUCUGACAGCAAGAGAUCGACGACAGAGAUGACUCUAGGUUUAUGAAGCUAAACGACGCCGUUCUUCGUACAGUAAAAGCUUGCUUAAACGGUGUCAUUCCGGAUUUUGGUUGCAAUAAGAAAAUUAAAGGGCUCCGGUAAUCGCUAAUCGCCUUUUAAAAUGAAUGUUUUUGGCUGGCGAUGAUGAUAAAAAGGCCGGACUUACGGCUGCUACUAAUUGUUUGGUAGUAGAAUGACGAAUGCUUCUAUAAGGAAACCACCUUCUAAAUAGUUUGCCUGUCAUGGAAACAUUUGAUGCAUGUUAAUGCUACUCUACAAGUCAAAGCUAUAAAAUCUUUUGCAGAAAAAAGGUUUAUGCAUGGUAGUUUACCACCUCACAUCUGGAUUUUUCCAUUUCCCACUUCUUUUAUAUGUAAGGUAGUCAAAUGUUUGGGAAGUUCAAGGAUGAGAAGUUUGGUUCCUUGGGAAAGUUGGCAGCAGCACAGGGAGCCCCUUAAAAACAGGCAGUGGGAAAUGACCAACAAUAGUGCACAGAAGUCAUUUUCUGAUCAGUGAAAAACAAAUAGUGUAGAAGGUAUAAAGAAAGAGGUGCGAAGACAAGAUGAUCAGGAGCCUCCAUGCUUAGAAGAGUCUUGACUGAGUCCUAAAUAUGCCAAAGAUCCAAACUGCUCUUUGAAAAGACCCAUGAACCAUUCUUAAUGAUAUCUGAUACCUUGGUAUGGUUGUAACUUUCUGUAUAAAGAAAUUACAAGGGGCAAGUUUUUUUUUAGGUCUUAUUUUGUAAAUGUUUACCUUCUGUACCUCUUUUAUCUGUUGCAUAAUUUUCACUGGACCAUGAUGGAUCCAUAUCAAGAAGUGAAAAAAAAAAAAUUCAUAUCUAGAAACAAUUUACUUCAAUUUCCUGAUGUAAUGGGAAUUAUGAAAUAAUUGUAGAUUUUAUUUAUCAACAAAUGGUCACAUGAUUUUAUUCCUUCCUUUA